AACGCACGAGACCUGCGGACCUGCGGAGGGAUCAUCGAAGAAUUAUUAUUUCCAAUUAUAAAAAAGGGGAGAGGAAAAAGGGGGGGAGGAACUCUCUCUAUAAGAGGCCUUCUCACUCUCUUUCUUUCUCCUUUUUUAUAAACAAACAAACAAACAAUCGCAACUAUAACUAUAAAAAGGAUAAUUUGGUUUGGUUUGAAUGAAUGAAUGAAUGGUUUGAAUGAAUUUUUGUUUGUGAAG
rnacentral:misc_RNA from 1 species